rnacentral:rRNA from 1 species
UACGAAGGGGGCUAGCGUUGUUCGGAAUUACUGGGCGUAAAGGGCGCGUAGGCUGUGCUGUAAGUCAGGCGUGAAAGCCCCGGGCUCAACCUGGGAAUUGCGCUUGAUACUGCGGCGCUGGAAGGUGGGAGAGGAUGGCGGAAUUCCCAGUGUAGAGGUGAAAUUCGUAGAUAUUGGGAAGAACACCGGUGGCGAAGGCGGCCAUCUGGCCCAUUUUUGACGCUGAGGCGCGAAAGCGUGGGGAGCAAACAGG